CCAUCGACUUCCAUUGAGGUGACACGAACGACAACUCUGUCUUGAAAUUAUACUGGACAUAGUUUGAAUAAAUUGAGAUUAUUAAAGAACAAACAUUAAAAAACGAUUUUCCUUUGUUUACAACAAGUAAUCAAUCUUGUGUUUUUGUCUUUCUUUCUUUCUUUUUUUCUUUCUUUCUUUCUUUCUUUCUUUCUUUCUUUCUUAAUUUCUUUCUUUCUUUCUUUCUUCCUUCAGACUGUUACGUAAAACAGCUUUAAUGCAUCUCGUGUUUAGGGCGUGUACUUGUUUUGUUAAAUUCUAAAUAUUUUACGUGCUUUUGUUAUCUUUUACGUUUUUUAGCCUUUCCUUUAAAGGAAUGACUCAAUUUCUAAAACUUCGGCAACUUUUAUAUUCGUUAUCAGUAAACCACUUACAAUUAAUUGAUAAGAAAACGACUAUUCCCUAUUUUGCUUUCUCCUUUUCAAACUUUCAUUAAUUUAGUCACAUUUCAUGUCAAAAAUCCGUAAAAUAGACAUUAUAUAAACAGGAUACGUUUAUACAGUGUUUUAAUAUAUAAUUCAAAGCUGUAUGUGGUAUUAACAGUUAUAAUUCAAAAAAGAUAUAAAGAAUCUCAUCAACAGCAUGUCAAGUACAAUUGUCCAAAUAGUUUUAAUUUUGGUAUUGAUUUAUAGUACAGACAUAACAGGGCAAA